rnacentral:lncRNA from 1 species
AGGCAAACCUCUGCCAUUAAAGAUCAAGAUAGUGGUUACCACUCCUGGCAGUGAUAAGCAGGGAGCAUAACAGAAGCGCCCAAGGUGUUGGUAGUUUUGUUUUUAAUUUGGGUGCUGAUUAGUUGGGUGUAUUCAGUUUGUGAAACUACAUCAAGCUCACAUUUACAUGCACUUUUUUGAAUGCAUAUUACACAUAAAAAAAAAUUUUUAGGAGUUCUCACUGUGGCUCAGUGGGUUAAGGAUCUGGCAUUGCCACAAGCUGUAGCGUAGGUCUCAGAUGAGGCCUGGAUCUGACAUUGCUGUGGCUGUAAUGUAGGCUGGCAGCUGCAGCCUGGAUUCGACCCCUAGCCUGGGAACUUCCAUGAGCUUCAGGCGCAGCCCUAAAAAAAAAUUUUUUUUAAAUACUAAAUAAUUCCCCCAAACAUGUUUUAUAUGUAUGUACAUUCAAAAACUGCCCAGUAUAGAUCAUUUUCUUACCUCUUGAAAAAAAAAAAUUUCAAAUUUUUCUAUAAAGAACUUGUUUUACUUUUAUAAGAAAAACAUUUAAACCAUAAGGUCAUCAUGGAAUGUAACCAGACGAUCUACAGGUGACACAGUCAUUCUUCCAGUUUUAGUCUCGAUUCAUUUCUUCAAAUUACUGAGCAACUCCGAGAUGGCAAAUACAUAGCAAUAAAUAAACCUUCAUAAUGUCAAGAAUAAUUAAAACCCCACACGAGUUCCCUGAACGCAACCAACAUUUCUCUUCUUUAAUGUGUAGUGUAUCCUGAGAGUCUGGCAACUGGCUAGGCUCUGCACUGAAAGUGGAUAUCCAAAAGUUUAUCAAGGACCAUUGGACGCUGACUUCAAAACUGUUCAAAAUAAGCCCAAAGCAUCUUAAAAAUCAGACCAGAAUUUCCAUUCUCACUCAGAUGACAUCAACCUCAAAUCGGUGGAAAUCUUGAAAAUGAUGAAAACAUGCAAGUUUAUCACAGAUCGACUGAUAAGGACAAUCAUACAACCAGCGUGCUCUUGCCAAGGUCAGAUUCCUCCCCAAUCAUUUCAUUAGCCUGGGUAUCAGCCACCACACUAUACUCCCCUCCAAAAUUCACCACGUGAUCACCAUGAAACAGACACUGUUCUGUGUGUUUCAUUAACAGAAUCUUCACAAUAACCCUAUGAGGUCAUCAUUUUAUAAAUAAGGAAACUGAAGCACAGAGACAAGAUUAGCCUAUAGAGGUCAUUUGAGAUGAACCAGCCUGAGGUGAAACUGCAAAGCAAUCUCAAUUUGUUUUUGACCUUCUGCUUGCCCCUUGUCAGUUUCCAUUCCACAAACCACCUUGGAAUGGAGUACCCUGAGAACAGGGACCAAAUACCUGGGGCUCCAAGCAUCUCUUGAAUGGAUAUGCUUCUUCCCAAGUAUCCUAGAAAGAAACCUUCUUUUGUCACAUCAUUUUUCUAAAUUAAUUGUUAAAUAAUUUCUGUUAAUUCAUUACCACAAACCAAUGUUAGAAUCAAGAUAUACUGGAUGUGGGAGUUCCCAUUGUGGCUCAGUGGUAACGAAUUUGACCAGUACCCAAAAGGAUGCAGGUUUAAUCCCUGGCCUCGUUCAAUGGGUUAAGGAUCAGGCACUUCGGUGAGCUGUAGUGAAAGUCGCAGUCAUGGCUCAGAUCCUGUGUGGCUGUGGCUGCAGUGUAGGCUGGCAGCUGCAGCUCCGAUUCAAACCCUAGUCCAGGAACUUCCAUACGCCUCGGGUAAGGCCCUACAAAGCAAGCAAACAAACAAAAAAGAUAUGCUGGAUCUGUAUUUCCCAGUCCAAUGGCUGUCUCUGCCUUCACUGUCCUCUGCUCAGCCCAGGCGUGCUGGGUUUCAAAGCAGGAUCUCUGCUCCCUCUUCACCAGGUGGUCUCUCCGUGUUUCACCUGUUGAAGCCACUACAUUACACCAAAUCAGGUUAACCAAACUUGACUCACUUCUUUCAGUUUCUGCCCAACCACCACCUCUUCAGAGGGGUCCUGCCUGACCUCCUCUGUUUAAAACAGCAGCACAUCAUCUCCACCCUCUCAAGUUGCUUUAUUUUUGUUGCUCUCCUCUAUGAUAUUUAAUAAUUCUUAUGUUCUGCUUCCUUUCUAAAUUGAAAACUGCACGAGGGCAGGGACUUUAUCUUGCUUAUUGCUGUAAUUCCACCCCUGCAACAGGAGCUGGCACAGAGGAGGUUCUCAAAUAUUUGCUGAAUCAACUGAAAGUCAGAGAGCCAUUUUUAACAUGCAGGGAAGGUAAAUCUCCUUUUCAAAAAAUACUGCCGUGGCUUAAUGAGACAGAAGACAGACAAAGAGGCAGAACAGAGAACAAAAACCAAACUGAAAAUGGAAAUUCAAGGGAAAAGUACUUAAAAUCUUGGGUUUUCUCUCUCCGUUUAGGCCUAGGGGAUAAGGGCUGAAAUGUGAAGAUGUUGGAGUGUUUUAUUCUGAACUGGGGUCAACACAGUGAGAAAAGGAUUUGUGGGAAAUUUUAGCAGUCAGGAUGCUUCUACUGAUUUUAAGUUUCAAAGGACCAAAGUGAAAAAGGAAAGUUAAGGCAGUUCCCGUCACGGCUCAGUGGUUAAUGAACCGGACUAGUAUCCAUAAGGACUCAGCUUGAUCCUUGGCCUCGCUCAGUGGGGUUAAGGAUCCAAUGUUGCUGUGAGCUGUGUUGUAGGUUAAAGAUUUGGCUUGGAGCCUGAGUGGCUGUGGCUAUGGUGAAGGCAGGUGGCUAUAGCUCUGAUUCGACCCCUAGCCUGGGAACCUCCAUAUGCCAUGGGUGGCCCUCAAAAGACAAAAGACCAAAAAAAAAAAGAAAAAAAGAAAAUUAGGAGUCUGUAAGGUUUCAUUUCUAUUAAAAUACUCUACCUGAAGUCAAAGUUAAUUUGUAUAACUAGCACUGAUCUCCUCACCAAUAGCCCAUCCCUUUCCAAGUGCUACUUCCUGUUUCCUCAAUCUAGCCUGGUCUCACUGGAUGGCCCAAACACUGAGAGACUGGGAAAAACUUACCUCAAAAACCCGGGGCGGGGGGGGGGGGGUUCUUUUUCUUUUUUUACAAAGUUACUUUUAACACUUCGAGGUGAGCUCCACAGGAAUAAAAAACACUGGGAAGGGGUAAUCCUCUCACCCUCGGGAGUGGCCCAGGGGGGACAGAGGCUACCUGAGAGGAAGGAAGCACAAAAGGGGCCCACUGCAGACUCAGGGCAAAGGCAAUGCCAUGGGUGCCGGGACCUGUGAGCACUGCAGGAGGAAACUUGACUGUGGUGGGACUGGCUCCAGGGGCACAGGCACAGGCGAAGAGCAAGAGGGUGAGACUCGGAGCUACAAUGUUUCCAGAACUAGAACAAAUAACUUUAAAAUGUGUAUGGAAACUCAAAAGAUCUCCAAUAGCCAAAAUAAUCUUGAGAAAGAAUAACAGAGCUGGAGCAAUCAUGCUGAUCUCAGGCUGUACUAUGAAGCUACAGUCAUCAAAAUAAUAUGGUACUGGCACAAAAACAGAUACAGAGAUCAACGGAACAGGACAGAGAGCCCAAAAAUAGACCCAUGUACAUAUACGGUCGAUUAAUCCAUGACGAAGGAGAUAAGAAAUACACAAUGUGGAAAAGAUGGUCUUUUAAUAAGUGGUACUGGGGAAACUAGACAGCUAUAUGUAAAACAAUGAAAUCAGGACAUUCUCUAACACCACAUACAAAAAUAAACUCAAAAUGGAGUAAAGAACUAAAUUUAAGACUGGAUAUUAUAAAACUUGACAAAAAAGUAGGUAGAACACACUUUGAAAUAAACCACAGCAAUAUUUUUUUGGAUCCAUCUCCUAAAGUAAAGGAAAAAGUAAAGGGGCCUUAAUUAAACUUAGUAGCUUUUGCACAGCUAAAAAAAACAAACCAAAAAAAACCCAUCAACAAGACAAAAAGACAGCAUACCAAAAGGGAGAAAAUAUUUGCAAAUGACAUGACCAAUAAGUGAUUAAUAUCCAACAUAUAUAAGCAUCUCAUACAACUCGACAUCCAAAAACCCCAAAGAACUCAAUUAAUACAUGGGCAGAAGAAAUGAAUAGACAUUUUUUCCAAAGAGGAAAUGCAGAUGGACAACUGGCACAGGAAAAGAUGCUCAACAUUAUUAAUUACGAGGGAAAUGCAAAUCAAAACCACAAUGGGGUAUUACUUCACACCUGUCAAGAUGACUAUCAUCAAAAAGAACACAAAAAACAAAUGCUGGUGAGGAUGUGGAGAAAAAGGAACCCUUGCACACUGUAGGAAUAUUACUUGGUGCAGCCACUGUAGAAAACAGUAUCGAGGUUCCUCAGAAAACAAAAAGAACUACUACAUGAUCCAGCAAUUCUACUCCUGGGAAUUUAUCUGAAAAACACAAAAACAUGAAUUUGAAAAGAUAUUUGCACCCCAAUGUUGACAGCACCAUUAUUUACAAUUAUCAAUAUAUGGAAACAAUGAAAUUGUCCACCAAAAGAUGAAUGGAUAAAGAAGUGGUAUAUACAUAUAAUGGAGGAGUGCCUGUUGUGACACAGCGGAAACAAAUCUGACUAGGAACCAUGAGGUUGCGGGUUCAAUCCCUAGCCUUCCUCAGCGGGUUAAGGAUCC